UACGUAGGUGGCAAGCGUUAUCCGGAAUUAUUGGGCGUAAAGCGCGCGCAGGCGGUUUUAAGGCUGAUGUGAAAGCCCACGGCUCAACCGUGGAGGGUCAUUGGAAACUGGGGAACUUGAGUGCAGAAGAGAAAAGCGGAAUUCCACGUGUAGCGGUGAAAUGCGUAGAGAUGUGGAGGAACACCAGUGGCGAAGGCGGCUUUUUGGUCUGUAACUGACGCUGAGGCGCGAAAGCGUGGGGAGCAAACAGG
rnacentral:rRNA from 1 species